rnacentral:rRNA from 1 species
GCGUACGUUGGGCCUAGGUGUGGGGGACAUUCCACGUUCUCCGCGCCGUAGCUAACGCAUUAAGUGCCCCGCCUGGGGAGUACGGUCGCAAGGCUAAAACUCAAAGGAAUUGACGGGGGCCCGCACAAGCGGCGGAGCAUGCGGAUUAAUUCGAUGCAACGCGAAGAACCUUACCAAGGCUUGACAUACACUGGACCGUUCUGGAAACAGUUCUUCUCUUUGGAGCUGGUGUACAGGUGGUGCAUGGUUGUCGUCAGCUCGUGUCGUGAGAUGUUGGGUUAAGUCCCGCAACGAGCGCAACCCUCGUUCUAUGUUGCCAGCACGUGAUGGUGGGAACUCAUAGGAGACUGCCGGGGUCAACUCGGAGGAAGGUGGGGAUGACGUCAAAUCAUCAUGCCCUUUAUGUCUCGGGCUUCACGCAUGCUACAAUGGCUGGUACAGAGAGAGGCGAACCCGUGAGGGUAAGCGAAUCCCUUAAAGCCAGUCUCAGUUCGGAUCGUAGUCUGCAAUUCGACUACGUGAAGUCGGAGUCGCUAGUAAUCGCAGAUCAGCAACGCUGCGGUGAAUACGUUCCCGGGCCUUGUACACACCGCCCGUCAAGUCACGAAAGUCGGUAACACCCGAAGCCGGUGUCCCAACCCACUUGUGGGAGGGGGCCGUCUAAGGUGGGACUGGUGAUUGGGACUAAGUCGUACCAGGGGUGCAAGG